UACGUAGGGGGCUAGCGUUGUCCGGAUUUAUUGGGCGUAAAGAGCGUGUAGGCGGUCAGGUAGGUCCGUUGUGAAAACUCGAGGCUCAACCUCGAGACGCCGGUGGAAACCAUCAGACUAGAGUCCGGAAGAGGAGAGUGGAAUUCCUGGUGUAGCGGUGAAAUGCGCAGAUAUCAGGAAGAACACCCGUGGCUAAGGCGGCUCUCUAGUACGGUACUGACGCUGAGACGCGAAAGCGUGGGGAGCGAACAGG
rnacentral:rRNA from 1 species